rnacentral:tRNA from 1 species
GCACUAUUAGCUCAACUUCAGAGGGCCGGUCUUGUAAACCGGAUGCCGGAGGUUAAAAUCCCCCCUACUGCU